ACCUGCUUGGCUGUCUCAUGAUAACCUUUUCUGCUUGUGAGGUUUGUUUCUUUGUUUCUUUGAGUGUUUUUGUUUUUGUUGUUGUUGUUGUUUUUGCAUUUGAAACAGGGUUUCACAUAGACCAGGGUAGCCUGGAACUUUGUGUCGCUAAGGAUGCUUGUCUUCUGGUCCUCCUGGCUGUGAUUAUAGCGGUAAGAAUGACAGCAUUCCAUUCUCUCUCUGUGUCAUCUCUGGCUGUGCCUCUAGCAUCUAUCAUGAGUGCACAGGAUGUGGCAUCUCUGGCUGUGCCUCUAGCAUCUAUCAAUCAUGAGUGCACAGGAUGAGGCGAAGCCUUUUGAACAUUCUGUUCUCUCCAUCCUCCAUCAAGUCUGAAUAUGCAGCCUACUUACUGGUCUCCCUUAACUCCUUCUUCACAAAGGGCCCUGUGAUGCAUAUCUUCUUUAUUACCUUCAGUUGAAGAUGUCUGCAAACCCUUGGAAUGCGCCCUAAGUUUUAGAAGUCUGCUGUUAUCUCAGAAGCAAUUAAGCAGUCCCAUUAUAAAAGGUCUUUGCACA